rnacentral:rRNA from 2 species
GCUUGCAUCAUGAUUUACAUUUGAGUGAGUGGCGAACUGGUGAGUAACACGUGGGAAACCUGCCCAGAAGCGGGGGAUAACACCUGGAAACAGAUGCUAAUACCGCAUAACAACUUGGACCGCAUGGUCCGAGUUUGAAAGAUGGCUUCGGCUAUCACUUUUGGAUGGUCCCGCGGCGUAUUAGCUAGAUGGUGAGGUAACGGCUCACCAUGGCAAUGAUACGUAGCCGACCUGAGAGGGUAAUCGGCCACAUUGGGACUGAGACACGGCCCAAACUCCUACGGGAGGCAGCAGUAGGGAAUCUUCCACAAUGGACGAAAGUCUGAUGGAGCAACGCCGCGUGAGUGAAGAAGGGUUUCGGCUCGUAAAACUCUGUUGUUAAAGAAGAACAUAUCUGAGAGUAACUGUUCAGGUAUUGACGGUAUUUAACCAGAAAGCCACGGCUAACUACGUGCCAGCAGCCGCGGUAAUACGUAGGUGGCAAGCGUUGUCCGGAUUUAUUGGGCGUAAAGCGAGCGCAGGCGGUUUUUUAAGUCUGAUGUGAAAGCCUUCGGCUCAACCGAAGAAGUGCAUCGGAAACUGGGAAACUUGAGUGCAGAAGAGGACAGUGGAACUCCAUGUGUAGCGGUGAAAUGCGUAGAUAUAUGGAAGAACACCAGUGGCGAAGGCGGCUGUCUGGUCUGUAACUGACGCUGAGGCUCGAAAGUAUGGGUAGCAAACAGGAUUAGAUACCCUGGUAGUCCAUACCGUAAACGAUGAAUGCUAAGUGUUGGAGGGUUUCCGCCCUUCAGUGCUGCAGCUAACGCAUUAAGCAUUCCGCCUGGGGAGUACGGCCGCAAGGCUGAAACUCAAAGGAAUUGACGGGGGCCCGCACAAGCGGUGGAGCAUGUGGUUUAAUUCGAAGCUACGCGAAGAACCUUACCAGGUCUUGACAUACUAUGCAAAUCUAAGAGAUUAGACGUUCCCUUCGGGGACAUGGAUACAGGUGGUGCAUGGUUGUCGUCAGCUCGUGUCGUGAGAUGUUGGGUUAAGUCCCGCAACGAGCGCAACCCUUAUUAUCAGUUGCCAGCAUUAAGUUGGGCACUCUGGUGAGACUGCCGGUGACAAACCGGAGGAAGGUGGGGAUGACGUCAAAUCAUCAUGCCCCUUAUGACCUGGGCUACACACGUGCUACAAUGGAUGGUACAACGAGUUGCGAACUCGCGAGAGUAAGCUAAUCUCUUAAAGCCAUUCUCAGUUCGGAUUGUAGGCUGCAACUCGCCUACAUGAAGUCGGAAUCGCUAGUAAUCGCGGAUCAGCAUGCCGCGGUGAAUACGUUCCCGGGCCUUGUACACACCGCCCGUCACACCAUGAGAGUU